rnacentral:rRNA from 1 species
UGCCAGACUCCUACGGGAGGCAGCAGUGGGGAAUAUUGCACAAUGGGGGAAACCCUGAUGCAGCGACGCCGCGUGAGUGAAGAAGUAAUUCGUUACGUAAAGCUCUAUCAGCAGGGAAGAAAAUGACGGUACCUGAGUAAGAAGCCCCGGCUAACUACGUGCCAGCAGCCGCGGUAAUACGUAGGGGGCAAGCGUUAUCCGGAUUUACGGGGUGUAAAGGGAGCGUAGACGGUGCAGCAAGUCUGAUGUGAAAGGGCGGGGCCCAACCCCGGGACUGCAUUGGAAACUGUUGAACUGGAGUACAGGAGAGGUAAGCGGAAUUCCUAGUGUAGCGGUGAAAUGCGUAGAUAUUAGGAGGAACACCAGUGGCGAAGGCGGCUUACUGGACUGUAACUGACGUUGAGGCUCGAAAGCGUGGGGAGCAAACAGGAUUAGAUCCCCUGGUA